GUACGGCCCAAGGCUUUAUAAGCGGCCGCUGAGAAGAGUCGCGCCCUUUCAUCCUGUGCCUUUGGAACGGGUGAGGCCACCAUGGAGGCGGCAGCGGCACCGCGACCCCGCCGGCAGCGCCGGGACCCCGCCGGGACCGCGGAAACCCCUCCCCGCAGAAAGAUGUCUUGAAGUAAAGAAGCUGGGCUUUCCACCUGCCUGUGACACAGCAGGGCUGGGAGCAGCUGGGGAGUGGCCCUGAUGUGAAGGUAGAGCCUGCAGGUCUCUGCUGCCACGUGCUGGUGGCUGAUGUCCCCCCAGUGAUGGGACAGCUGUUCCCAAGUCCUGUGGAGGGCACUGAGACAGCAGAGCAGGAGAAUCUGCUGGGUGGUGCUGCUGCAAACAUCUCUGAGGCAGAAGGACUCCAACAAAACACCUGGCCUUGAGGAUUUUGUGUAGACAAAACAUUUUUCUGCCUGUUACAAAGUGGUAACAGUUAAAGUGGUUUGUUACAUGUACAUUAAAAUAAUUAAAAUUAGAAAAAAACCACUGUUUUGUCACUUUACUGCAAUAAGGAAACUGGGCAUUCCUGUAAUUUGCUGUAAGAUGAAGAUGUACCCAGAUGGCAAAAUUUUCACUGCAGAUGAUGCCAGUGGGGUUUAGUGUGGUAAUUAGUGUUUUAACAAGGCAUUAAGAGCAUAAUUACUGCAGAGAUCAGCCCUCCAGUGCUCUGAUAGCCAGAGCAGCAAAUGCAGCUGCAGCUGUAGCUUGUUUUAAGCUCAAAAUUGAAUUUAAAGUCUGCUGCAGAGGCAGAGUUCAAGGGUUAGAGGGAAUCUUGGGAAGUUAGAGAUGCUUAAAAGAGUUAAAACCUCAGCGUUUAAGGCCAGAACUCCCAAUUAGGUUAAUUAUGUCACUAGAACUGGCAGGUUACAACACUUCAGUGCUCCAAACAUCCAAACUGAUGGUGCUGAGCCUUCUGCCCACCUGGUGUCAGCAGUGAGGAUUUUCGGGUGUGCUUUCUGCAAACUUUAUUAAUAUUUGAACUAUUUCCUCACAAGCCUGUGGUCACUGCCAAGGGGGGGAUCACAGUGGUCAAUGCACAGCUCCAGGUGGGAGAGUUUGGGAUUGUUUUGCCUUCCAUGUGGAGUUCAGGUGAAGAUCUGAAUUGGAUUGAAUCUGAAUUUUAAUUUUAAUUUUUCUGACUGGAAGGUGCUGUGAACUGGUGCUGCUCAUGUGACAUCACAGGGCAGUGUCCCUGUCCCUCCUAAAGUUCAGGUGACAGUGCCUCCUGAGGUAUAAAUUGCAUGAAAAGUAGAAUUUCAGGAAUUUCUCUUGGUGUUCAGAGAAACUGGCUCAGUGUUUUCCAGAGAAAUCUCCUGGUUCUACAACAUGCAGGUAAAUUAUUCUGGAUUUUUUUUUCCUAGAAUUGUUACAGUGGUACAUCCAGGGCUUCAUAAAAACAUUCAGCCUGGGCAAUGGAGUAGGUAAAUCAUGUUUGGAAUUAAUUAGUUGCUCUUAAUCUGAAAGGAUUUGAACACUACGAAGAACAGGUUACUCUGCUUAAUUCAAAUUUAAAGUUACAUUCUGUUCCAGUGUUUAAAGAACCAAAACUUUUUCCCUGAUUUUAAGAGCUUGUGUAUUAGAAACAUGUUGAUAUUUCUUACAGCAUGCACUGGGAAUAAAAAUGGGUUUAAAGCUCUCAAAAAGCACAAGGAUCCACCUUUUUUAAAUGUGAAUCUGCAGACCAUGGAGGUAAUAGCAGCCACAUGCCCUCAGCAAACAGAAAUAAUCAGCAAAUUGUUUAAUGAGCUGUUCAGUUUGCUCCAGGAAGCUUUGCUGCAACUUCUUUUACAAUUCUUGCUUUCUAGUGUUAGAAUUCUCUUAUUAAACAGCAGAGUUGAUCUGGGAAAACUUGAAAAUUGACUUUACCUGGGUUUAUUGAGGGUGCAGUUGGUGGUAUCUGUUGGAGAUAAAUAUUCAUGAGUUUCAUUUUACCAUCACUUGUUUAUUGUUCUAAUCAAAACUAAAGUUCCUCAGCAGGGAUCCUCUAGCAGGCUGGGGUUUUGCUGAGAUUAAUGAAUGGAAAAGUGUUAUUUCUGUUAGAAAAUGGUGCCUUUCAAACAUAACAAAUGUCCUCAACAUUUUACUGUGAUUUUCCAGGGGAGCACAGAUAAUUUCAUGGUGCUUGAGGGGAAGGGAAAUAAAACCAUUCUGUUUUGAUUACAUUUGGAGCACUUGAAACUUAGUGUUGGGGAAUAAACAGCAGACAAAAAUCUGGUUUUAAAACACAAUUAUUUUGGAUUUUCUAAAGGUUUAAAAAGAACGGUUGGCAGGAAUCCCUUUGGCACUCAACAGCAGCCAACAACCCUGGAUAAAUCUAAAAUAGAUGAAAAGAUUAAAGCACAAAGAAAAAAUAUGCAACAAAGCAAAGAAUGGCCGAGUGCCAGCUUUUAGCAAUAAGAGAGAUGGCAAUGCCAUGUCUCAAAUCACUGUUUGAGAGAAAACAUGGAGAUUAUCCCCAAAAUCUGUGCUGAGGGGCUGGAAUUGAGGAGGAGGGGAGGCAUCCACAGGGACAGAGCUGCCUCACUGUAAAUCACAAGCUUCACAUUUCACAUAAAUGCUGGUUAUCAUCCUCAUUGCUUGAUUAGUACUGUAAAGCAAUCAUAUCUGCAGCAGCAUGAGAAUAAUCACUGAUGCAAAGCCAUAAAUUACUGUAAUUAAUACAUGCCAGCUAUUAAUGGCAAUGUAAAGAGGAGCUCUCUUGGCUUGGUGGCUGCUGUUCCAGCUGAGGCAGUUGGAGCUGUAGCUACUUAAUUAGGAGGGAGGAAGGGAUACCCUGUGUAUCUGAAAUCCUAAAUAUUGACACUUCACUCCUUUUCCCCUCAGAGCAGGAGGAGGAGCUGUUCAUUUUCCAAGUCUCCUUCAUCUCAGAGAAGUGAGGCACAAAGGAGCUGCUGUUUUCCAGCACCGGUGUCAUGCAAGCAAAGUGUCACAGGCUCAGGAUGUUCCUGGCACCCCCCUGACCUUGUGCUGCCAGAGCUGGAGCACAUUUCAUGUGUUCCUAUGAAGAAGGACAAGGUUAAUGCAUCAUUUAAUGCUCUGCCAGGACAAACAUCCCCCUUCUUUGUCACUUCAUGUCAUUUAGUGCCUUAAUUUUACGCUUGAAAUCAGUUUCAGCUCAGCUGAUCCUAAAACUGCUGAACGUGGGGAGGGUUGAACAGGUGGGGUUUGAUUUAGGGCAUGCAAGGAGAGCUUAUUUAAAGAACAUUGAGCAUUUUCUGCCCCUGUGCUCUGAUUCUCAGAGUAACAUCUGUCCUGCUUUACCUCCUGACACUUGAGCCCACAAGGUGGGGCAGUGACCAAGCUCAGAGCAUUUGAAAUAAAAUAUUUUUGCAGCCUUGAAAAUGCUUAUUUUUGGGGAAACUCGGUUUUACUGCUGGUUCCUUCCCUGUUUCUAAUAAGAUUUGCAACUUUCAUUACUAUGUAGAGAAUCCCACACACAGUGAUAAUGUCACUCUUUAAUUAGCUGUUAAUUAAUGUGUCUUAGUGUUGGACCAGCAGAGGCUCAUUUGAUGAGCUUUUGAUGCUGUGCAAACUCGAAGUUCAUGGUCCCACCCUAAAGUGUUCCUGCUCUGAGUGUGAUGAGGAGCCAGAGGAGUUCAAACUUAUUUUUAUUUGAUAAAAAUAAAGGAUAUUUUGCCCUUCAUUGCCCUUCCCUCCCAGGCAGCUCAGGAGCUGCCAGGCUGUGCCUGCUCCAGGUGGAUUUUGAGUCAAUAAACACCCCCAGCUCAGCACCUGUGUGGAACUGAAACCUGAACAAAAUGCAAGUGAGGAAAUCACUUAGUGAAGGCUGAUUUCAAAUCCCUGCUGUUUUAAUCAAAUAGACAUGUUAAAAGUUUUAUCUCCAAUAAUUAAGACUUUUGUUUGUUAGACUCCUGUUAGUUUUUGCAAGUCAAUACCUGGAUUUUUUUCCAUAACAGGUUUUUUUGUUUGUAAUGGUUUGUGGUAAAAUCAUUGCAGAGCCCAGCUGCAACACAAACUAAACAAAUAAUGAUUGAUGUUUCUGAAGCUGCCUAUGGCUUUCUGCUGGGCUCUCCUUGGUUUUCUUUAUCAUUUUGAUUUAUUUCCCAGUUUUUUUUGAUUGCUUUCUUGCUUGUGCUUUCCCACAUCCUGCAGGGUAGUUACUCUAGGUUUGAUUUUCUUGGGUUUUUGUGUAUUUUGUGCAUUUGCAAACUGCACCUAAAGAUGUGUUAGUGUUGGCUUUGGGUUUGUUGGGUGCUCUUAUCACCGAGCAGUGGAAUAGGCUUGAGGUUUAACAACACAAAGACAAACUUCCAGCUAAGCCUGAGGUUAUCAGCCAUAAUAAAAAAUAAUAAAUUUUCCUAGAUAGCUGAAACUUUAUUAAUAAACACCUGAGUCAAGAUAAUGGUGGCACCAAUGGUAAUUUGGUUAUCAGCCUUUAUCAGACAGCAAGAGCAGUCCUGGUGCUGAGGUGAGCUGUGAGCUGUUUAAUGCAGCAGCAGCUGAAAUAUCCAAUAGAAAUGUUUUCCAUCUGUGCCUCCCUCUGAUAAUCCUGCAGCAGUCUGCAGUGCUCCACAUCACCUCCUUGCAGAUGAGGAACUGGAGCUGGAGCCCUGCUGGGAGCAGGCAGAGGGUUUGGUCAGUGAUUGGAUAAAGCAAUUUUCCUGAACUGUGUCAAAUCAGGUUUUUUCUUCCUUUCAUCUGUGGCAGUAAAUAAUAAACUCUUUGUGCUGAGUGAAAUCCAGGGGAGACCUGCUGGGAAGAUGAUGGGAAUUGUUUCAGAGCUGGGAGUGAGGUGGGAGCUUUGAAAUGCACAGUGAUGGGAAGCCCCUGCACCAAGGUGGCUGCACUUUGAAUUUAAUUAAUUUAAUCUGUCCAGGCACCUCCCCACCAGCCUGUUUGCUGCUGUGCUUUGGAGGAAGAUGCUCUCUGCUUGCAGGAGGUGAAAUAAAGCUUCAGUGUCAGGGCCAGACUGUUUGGAAAUGCAAAACAGGAGCUGCAUCAAGGGCAGGGAUUUCAAAGGUGCUGCUUUUAUGCUUCAGAAAGGUCUUUGGAGAUGACAGCAACAACGUGGUGUCACCUGGCAACAGGUCAGAGGCUGGCGCUGAGCCAAAAGAAGGGUUUCAGGGAGGAAAACGGGGCUGAAAAAUCACCAACACCAGAAUGGUUUGAAGAAUGGUUGUGACACCAGGGUGAGGGGACAGCUCUGGGCUGGUGGCUGCCCCUGCCCUGGAAGUUCAGCCCACUUUGGGGGUUGGCACAGAAAAAAGGACAAUAUUUGCAUUUCAGCCCUCAGCUCUGCUGUUUCUGUGCCUGUGGUGGAGGGGAGCUCUGAGCCUGCAGGAAAGGCUCACUCUUACCUGAGUCUCUCUUACCUGAGUGACCAGGCAAGGAGCAGCUCCCCAAGGGAUGCUCAUGCCUGGGUGAUUCAGCUGGGUUUCCACAUCUGCUGUAGCCCAAUAUCCCAUAAUUUUCCAUCCAUCCCUUACUCUGCAUGCCUUUCCAUACAUUUGGGCCUGUAGGAAGAUGCUUUGAGGUUUUAUUUAUGUAGAUUGUGUUUAGGAGGGCUGUGAGUGCUGCUUGCAGAAUCCUGAUCACAAAGCACCUCCCCAAAUUCUUGCCCAGAGCCAGAGGAGCCCUGGUUUUCCCUGGAGAAGGACAGAGCUGACAGGGAGAGCCAGGAAUAAAGUGGUUUUACAGCACACACCCUCAAAAUCCAGUGAUAAAUGCCCAGGCCAAACCUUCAGUAAAUUAAAUAUUAAUAUUUCUCUCUUCUUUUGUAAACCUCCAGUCUAUUUGUCCUUCCAAUUACAGCUCCCUGAGAGCUGCCACGUGCACUCACUGGAGGCUGGGAUUGCUCAUCCCAACCUGCUGGAUGCAAACCAGCUCACAGGUUUGUUUUCUCCUCAGACUGAGUUAAUAAAACAGCAAAGAAAAAAGAUGGCCCAGAAGCCACAGGAUCAAUAAGCUAUUAGGAGCCAAGAAAACUCAGCAAACUGCGCACAUAAUUAAAGGCUGUGGUGAACAGGUUGCAUCUUUUCUGACUCUAUUAAAUCAGGUCUUCAAUUUAAUGUAAAACUAUCAGCUGAGCUGGAGGUAAAACCAGCUGUGUCUCUCUGUAUUUACAGAGGGGGCAUAAAAAGGGAUAAAAAAAAUGCAUGCCCAGAACUGCCAGAAGAGGUUGUGAACAAAGCACCUCCAGUUCCCCAUCCUUCAGGAGUAACUGAGCCAUGGCCUGAUGGAGCUGGCACAUCAAAAAUGACACUUUGUUCCUAAAUACCUUUCCUGCAGUGCCAGUUUGGGAUCAGGAUUCCUGCAGUGAGCAAAGCUCUUGAGCUGCUCCCUGAGAACAAACCCUGUGCUACCAUUUUAUUGAAGCAGGUCCCAGAAUGGUUUGGGUUGGAGGGGAAUUAAAGCCCAGUUCAUUCCAACAUUCUGCUGUGGGCAGGGACACCUCCCACUAAUCCAGGUUUGUCCAAGCCCUGUCCAGCCUGGGGAUAUCUAUCCAUUUAUUAAUUAUAAUUAAUUAAUAUCAAUGGUAAUGUGCCUGGAGCUGGGCCCUCCCUAGGAAUUGAGGCUGGAGCCUGGCUGGAGGCAGCAGAGCACUGUGAGGGGUGGCUCUGUCCUUCAGAAUUUCCUGUUAAAGACAUUUCACAGAGCUGGAA